AGCGGUACAGCUCAGUGGUAGAGCAUGUGUUUAGCACACACAAGGUCCUGGGUUCAAUCCCCUGUACCUCUA
rnacentral:tRNA from 1 species